rnacentral:misc_RNA from 1 species
UUAGCCUAAAACCACUAUUACUUCAAGGCAUAUGAAUUGAGCAGCUUAAAAGGGGAAUGUUGAUGCAUGAUAGUCGUUUUACCCAGUUUGAGAAUGCAUAAUACCUGUUUGACAAUUUACACAAUAUAUGGGUUUAGUUCAUGUCAAAGUUGUGUGUGAUUAUUGUCAGAGUCCAGUACAAUAAUUCACCCACAGUGUUUUGA